rnacentral:rRNA from 1 species
CGUAGGGUGCGAGCGUUGUCCGGAAUUAUUGGGCGUAAAGGGCUCGUAGGCGGUUUGUCGCGUCGGGAGUGAAAACAUCCAGCUUAACUGGGUGCUUGCUUUCGAUACGGGCAGACUUGAGGCAUGCAGGGGAGAAUGGAAUUCCUGGUGUAGCGGUGAAAUGCGCAGAUAUCAGGAGGAACACCGGUGGCGAAGGCGGUUCUCUGGGCAUGUCCUGACGCUGAGGAGCGAAAGUGUGGGGAGCGAACAGGAUUAGAUACCCUGGUAGUCCACACCGUAAACGUUGGGCGCUAGGUGUGGGACCUAUUCCAUGGGUUCCGUGCCGUAGCUAACGCAUUAAGCGCCCCGCCUGGGGAGUACGGCCGCAAGGCUA